UCCCAGUGCUCUGAUGGUAAAGAAUCUGCCUGUAAUGCAGGAGACCUAGGUUUGAUCCCUAGGUUGGGAA
rnacentral:tRNA from 1 species